UACGAAGGGGGCUAGCGUUGUUCGGAAUCACUGGGCGUAAAGGGCGCGUAGGCGGCUUUAUAAGUCGGGGGUGAAAGCCUGUGGCUCAACCACAGAAUUGCCUUCGAUACUGUAGAGCUUGAGACCGGAAGAGGUAAGUGGAACUGCGAGUGUAGAGGUGAAAUUCGUAGAUAUUCGCAAGAACACCAGUGGCGAAGGCGGCUCACUGGCCCGAUACUGACGCUGAGGCACGAAAGCGUGGGGAGCAAACGGG
rnacentral:rRNA from 1 species